GAGUUUGAUCGUGGCUCAGGAUGAACGCUGGCGGCGUGCCUAACACAUGCAAGUCGAACGAAGACAUACCGACGGAAUCCUUCGGGAGGAAGAUGGUAUGGACUGAGUGGCGGACGGGUGAGUAACGCGUGGGUAACCUGCCCUGUACAGGGGGACAACAGUUAGAAAUGACUGCUAAUACCGCAUAAGCGCACAGUACCGCAUGGUACAGUGCGAAAAACUCCGGUGGUACAGGAUGGGCCCGCGUCUGAUUAGUUAGUUGGCGGGUAACGGCCCACCAAGACGACGAUCAGUAGCCGGCUUGAGAGAGUGAACGGCCACAUUGGGACUGAGACACGGCCCAAACUCCUACGGGAGGCAGCAGUGGGGAAUAUUGCACAAUGGGGGAAACCCUGAUGCAGCAACGCCGCGUGAGUGAAGAAGUAUUUCGGU
rnacentral:rRNA from 1 species